UACGGAGGGUGCGAGCGUUGUCCGGAAUCAUUGGGCGUAAAGGGCGCGUAGGUGGCCCGGUCAGUUCGUGGUGAAAGCGCGGGGCUCAACCCUGCGUCGGCCAUGAAUACUGCCGCGGCUGGAGCACUGUAGAGGCAGGCGGAAUUCCGGGUGUAGCGGUGGAAUGCGUAGAGAUCCGGAAGAACACCGGUGGCGAAGGCGGCCUGCUGGGCAGUUGCUGACACUGAGGAGCGAAAGUGUGGGGAGCGAACAGG
rnacentral:rRNA from 1 species